rnacentral:misc_RNA from 1 species
AAGUCGUAACAAGGUUUCCGUAGGUGAACCUGCGGAAGGAUCAUUAAAUUCAGCAGCUUGCUGCUGGUCGGAGGCGCUGUAAGCCCGCAUAGUUUAAUUACUGAUGAGCGGCAGGCCCUCUGUCUGGACCUUGUCUUUGCGUACUCAUGUUUCCUCGGCGGCUUGCCCGCCGGUUGGACAAAACUAUAACCUUUUUAAUUUUCAAUCAGCGUCUGAAAAACUUAAUAAUUACAA